rnacentral:rRNA from 1 species
GAACGCUGGCGGYUUGCUUAACACAUGCAAGUCKAACGCGAAAGGGACUUCGGUCCUGAGUAAAGUGGCGCACGGGUGAGUAACGCGUGGAUAAUCUGCCCUUAUGAUUGGAAUAACAGUUGGAAACGGCUGCUAAUACCGGAUACGCUCAAAAUGAACUUUUUGAGGAAAGAUGGCCUYUGCUUGCAUGCUAUCGCAUAAGGAUGAGUCCGCGUCCCAUUAGCUUGUUGGCGGGGUAACGGCCCACCAAGGCAACGAUGGGUAGCCGAUUUGAGAGGAUGAUCGGCCACACUGGAACUGAAACACGGUCCARACUCCUACGGGAGGCAGCAGUGGGGAAUAUUGCGCAAUGGGCGAAAGCCUGACGCAGC